rnacentral:misc_RNA from 1 species
AUAUAACAUUCGUGAAUUUUUUUUCGCGGAUUUGAGUUUUCCAGUAUUUUAUUAUUAUAAAAAAAUGUUGGUAACUUUAAAAUUAUUUUAUUUCUUGGUUACAAGUUAAAAACGUACUAUAUGUGUGGUUCGUUGAUAAUUUGUCCAUCUAUAUAUAUUAUGUUUGUACUUGGUCCACAUUGGGUUUUGUGUGAACAUAUAUUUUUU